rnacentral:rRNA from 1 species
UAAUACCGAAUACGCUUGCACAGGUGAAGCUGUGUAAGGAAAGGUGCUACGGCAUCGGCCUAAAGAUGAGCCUGCGUCCCAUUAGCUAGUUGGUGAGGUAAGAGCCCACCAAGGCGAUGAUGGGUAGCCGGCCUGAGAGGGUGUACGGCCACACUGGGACUGAGAUACGGCCCAGACUCCUACGGGAGGCAGCAGCUAAGAAUAUUCCGCAAUGGACGAAAGUCUGACGGAGCGACGCCGCGUGGAUGAAGAAGGCCGAAAGGUUGUAAAAUCCUUUUGCUGGGGAAGAAUAAGUCUGGGAGGGAAUGCCCGGAUGAUGACAUGAACCGGCGAAUAAGCCCCGGCCAACUACGUGCCAGCAGCCGCGGUAACACGUAGGGGGCGAGCGUUGUUCGGAAUUACUGGGCGUAAAGGGCAUGUAGGCGGUUUUGUAAGCUUGGCGUGAAAGUCCACGGCUCAACUGUGGGAUAGCGUUGAGAACUGCGAAGCUUGAGUUAUGGAGAGGGAGCUAGAAUUCCUGGUGUAGGGGUGGAAUCUGUAGAGAUCAGGAAGAAUACCAAUGGCGAAGGCAAGCUCCUGGCCGAUGACUGACGCUGAGGUGCGAAAGUGUGGGGAUCAAACAGGAUUAGAUACCCUGGUAGUCCACACUGUAAACGAUGUGCACUAGGUGCUGGGGCGGAUGCCUCAGAGCCGAAGCGAACGCGAUAAGUGCACCGCCUGGGGAGUAUGCUUGCAAGGGUGAAACUCAAAGGAAUUGACGG